UUUGGCCACCGAAAUCUCAUCAAGGGUCUGAGGAUCUGAGGACUAUGGAAGUGAAAAAUCUCAUCAAGGAUAAGAAAUUCUGGUUUGCGUCCUUCCUUAUCGUCUGGGCUGCUGCUCUCCAGGGCCAUAUGAUGUGGAUGCAGAAGCAGGACUCCUUCAAGCAGAAAUUUGGGAACCUUGAUCAAGACAAGGAUGCCCAAAACUGAUGGGUAAGAGUCACCCUGCGCAAACCAAAACUCGAAAGGAUUUAAUUUAUUAAUUUUUUUUGGGAGAAAGUUCUUCUCUGGAAGUGACUCGAACUCCUGCUUUCCGAGUCAUAAAUUACUUUUAAGUAGUGCAGUUGAAAUGCUGGAUUAUGUGGAGUCUGUACUGUUUAUAUGAUUGACAAGUGUGAAGUACUGAAUUUGAUCUU